CGGUUCACUUUAACCUAACGAAGGGAUAUGAAUCGUCAUGAACGGAGUCUCCAUGCGCGGCCAUGAGCGUAAAAAUGGAGCUUCUCGGCGUUCAUAGAUCCACGUUCUCCAUUCUUGUCUCAAAUCCUCGAUACAAAGCCUCAUCACCACGAAUUCAAUGAUGAUAUCCCUAAUUGCGUCUAAGCUCAACGAAUUGAUCGAAACCGAAACGAAAUCACGAUGCAAAAACGAGACAAAACAUGGAUUGAAGUAGGAAGAACUCACCAGACUCACUCUUCGAUUCGAGCAGUUUAUAGGCGUUGCGUGAACUCUGGUGCAACUGGGGAGGAGUGAGAUAAGAACGUGAUGCAGAAUCCGGAUUGAAGAUGAAACUUGGAAAAUGUUGAAGAAAUCAAUUGGAGAGUGAAGGUUGGAUCGAGUUUUAGGCGUGAAGAAGAAGACAAAAAAUGAAGACUGAAUGUAAGGUCAUGGUUGUUAUGGUGAGGUGGAUUGGGUUUUCAUGGAUGCUGUUAUGCUCGUUUUGGCUUAGGUUCGGUAGGCUUGUAAUAGAUCUCGCCUUGCUGGUGUGGGAUGCUUAUGGAUGUCGGUUUACUCGAUGACUUGCAAGGGCUGGGUUCAAUCGAACAUAUGCAAGGCGAUGCUUGUUGGACGUAUAUGAGGCAAUGUUAUGUGGUGCAUCAGACCUGCUAUGGUCCGGUUGUGCAGAAACUAAUUCCAUGCUUGCUUAUAUGCAUUGGCUUGUUUGAAAAGAAUUGAACAGUACAUCAACUGACAUGCUUAGGAACUGUUUUGAAAUGUCAAUUAUUUAUGUCAAUGAAGGUGAAUGUUAAUGUUAUUGAAUGCUUGGUAUUGAGAUGCAGGAAAUGGAUUAAAUGGAUUUGUUCGGACCAAUUGUGUUUGAAUCAUGUUUAGCCCCUUCACAGAGUGAUGGAUCAAAGCAUUAAUUGGAAUGGAUUGGCAAGGAGGGUAAUCAUAGGCCAUGCUUGGAAUUUGUUAUGUUUAGAUUAUAAUUUUAUAGUUUUUGGAUUUGGCUAUGGUGAUGUAUUUGCACAUGGUUUUUGAUGUAAUCGAAUGUUUAAUGGUUAAUGUGUGGAGGAGUGAAAUAUUGUUAUGGAAUUUGGGUUUAUGGGAAUGGAUUAGAAUUUGGACAUGAGAUCAUUAUAGUGUAAUGUUGAAAAUUGAUUUAUGAAGUGUAAUGUAAUAAGGAUGGUUGAGAUGUUAUGUGUAAUACAUUUGGAUUGGUACCGGUUAUGUAAAGAUAAUUUGAAUGGA